GGCUGGGUCUUGUCCCUCUGCUGGGCAGGGUCCUGUCAGGUGCUGUGCUUAUCAGGCAGCUGUGGGCUCCAGAAAGCUUUAUAAACAGCCUGUCUGCAGAUGGGUGGGGCUGUGUUCCUGCCCUGUUGUUUGGCCUGAGGCAUCCCAGCACUGGAGUCAAUAGGUUGUUGGGUGGGGCCAGGUCUUGGUGAGAAGAUGGCUACCUCCAAGAGGGCCCAUGUCAAUGAGUACUCUCCAGAACUACUGCCCCCAGUUUCUUUGUCUCUGCACUGAGCCACAGCCACCCCCUUCCUCCACAGAAGGCCCUAAAAUACCAGCAGGUAAGUCUAGCUCAGGCUCUUAUGAGUCACUGAUUUUGUGCCCUGGACACGACUGAGCGACUUCACUUUCACUUUUCACUUUCAUGCAUUGGAGAAGGAAAUGGCAACACACUCCAUAUUCUUGCCUGGAGAAUCCCAGGAAUGGGAGCCUGGUGGGCUGCCGUCUAUGGAGUCGUACAGAGUCGGACAUGACUGAAGUGACUUAGCAGCAGCAGCAAGCAUCCUCUUGAAUGAAUAUGGUGCUUUACAAAUUACAGACAUUUUCUCUCUGUGUAAAACUAAUUUCUACAACAUCUUGUGGGGUGUGGUAUUAAGCAAAGGGUUUGGAAACAGGAGCUAACAGAGGUUAAGGAACUUGUCUGUGGCCCCACAGCUGGUGAGUGGUUUAUGUCGUCUGUGACUAUUGCAGUGUUUCAUUUCAGCUAUUGUGGCCAGUUAACUCUUGCCUAUAGAUGUCACUGAUUUCCCAGUUUUGUCACAUUAUGCUUUCUUUUUUCUGUGCACUGUGUAAUAUAAUGAUCUCAUGACUUGUAUCCAAAGACUGAGAUAAUUGGAACAUUAUUCUCUCAUAUCCCAUCCUCACUGCCUCUCACCUUAGCGCAUUUCUAGAAUAUGGUCAUGCACUAGAGUUUGCCAACCCCUCUGCCCUGUUGUAAAGUUUGCUUUGUCACCCUACAUGUAUAGUUAAUCCCAUUCCCUAUUUACUCAUGCCUCAAUUUUUCUAAUUGUAAAAAAGAUGCCUCUUUUGUUUCCAAUGUACUUGUUAUCUUUCUUGUCACUCAUGGUUAACCUCAAAGUCUCUAACCUUACUGGGUAUUUUCUGUAAGCUUUCCUUUCUUUUCUAAUCACUGUUUAUGUGAUCCUAGCCUAAACCUUACUUGUUUUGAUCCUCUGAAUCUUAACGGAAAGCAAAAAGCUUUUAUGCCUCAGAAGCUUUUCCUAGCAGUACUGCCAGUGUUUCUAUAUGUCUGGUGGUGCUUCUGCUUCUGAAUGGUGCUCACAUCUUAUUUUUAGCAUCCUUAUAAUGAAAGCCUUGAACAGUUAUCUUACAUUUUCGUUGUUCUUGCUCAGUCGCCAAGUUGUGUCUGACUCUGCGACCCCACGGACUGUAGCACACCAGGCCUCCCCGUCUGUCAACAUCUCCCGGAGUUUGCCCAAGUUCAUGUCCAUUGAAUCACUGAUGCCAUCCAACUGUGAAUGUCAAAUGCCCUUGUUUACUUGAAGCUUUUUCAUUUACAUAGUGUUCAGUUAUUACUUGUUAACAGGUAUGAGGAUGCAUCCUCUUCAAAUUUAGUACUACUCCAUUUUCUCUUGAGAACUGUUGUCACUGUAAUUUUUUGUCCUUAUCCAAGGAUUUUUUAAAAAUGUUUAAUUAAAUUUAUUUAUUUUAAUUGAGGGACAGUUACUUUACUGUGUUGGUUUCUCCCAAGCAUCAGCACGAAUCAGUGGUUCUGGUGCUUCUCCUAAGUCACUUCAACUCUUGGCAACUCUUUGCAACACCAGGGGCUGUAGCCCGCCAGGCUCCUCUGUCCAUGGGAUUCUCCAGGCAAAACACUGGAGCAAGUUGCCAUUUCCUUCUGCAGGGAUCUUCCCAACCCAGGGAUCAAACCCAUGUCUCCCGUAUUGCAGGCAGAUUCUUUAGAGUCUGUGCCACCAGGGAAGCCCUCCCUCUACCUAUCCAAGGUUUUCUUGGAAGUUCAUUCAUUGGGUUUCUUCCCCAUCUCAUUCACAAAACUGUCAUGCUUUAAAAUGUUGAUAGAAGGUACCAGUAUCUUUUGAAUGUCCUCCUAUUUCAGACCUUUACACUUUCCCCUCUUCCUUCUCUUUUAAUCCUGUAUCUUUUCUGUUGUCUACUUUGUUUUUCUUCAGUAUACUUGAUUUACUUGAAUGCAUCUCUCCUUUCUCUGAACUCUUUUUGUUAUCAGGGUACAGAGUGUGUAUGUUGUUUUUCACCAGCUCAAGAGUAAGCUUUAAGACAUGGCAUGGGCAGCUUAAAAAAAUUAAAAGGGCAUGGGCUUUACCGUUUUGCCUUAUCACUUAUUUAUUGCAGGGCCUUGCAUAUAAUAAGAUCCAAUAAAUAUUUAAAAGUUUGAAUUUAACAUAACUAUAAACUAUGCUUAUAAUUUCUGAUUAACAUAAUUAUUAACCAUAAUAUUAGUUAAUAUUAACUGACUUUAAAUAUAAUGGUUUUGUCUCUUUAAGGAUUUAUCAUCUCUGGACUGCCUUAAGAAUCCUUUCAGUAGUUUUAUAUUUUUAGCUUCUUUUUUUGUGAUCUCUAUACGAAAGAAUGAAAAUCAUCAGCUUUUAAGUAUUAUUUUGAAUACAUUGUUUUUUUCCUUCCUUAAAGGACUUUGUAGUGACCUUCAGUUGAUAUUUUCUUUUGAAAUUUUUAUUUGGAACAUUUUGAAAUGUACAGGAAAAAAAGUUCAGUGAACAUCUAUGCUACAUUCAUCAACAUUUCACCAUAGUUGUGUCAUAGUCCCCUUACCACUCUUUUUUGCUGAGAAUUUAUGGCAUACCCAAGACAUUAUUUCAUCCUUAGGUAACAUGUAUGUAAAACAACACAUUUUCAUACGUGACUGCAAUGUUUUGUCAUAUAUAACACACUUGAUAGUGAUUCCUUAAUUACAUGUAUAAUACUUCUUAAUCCAUGUUCAGGUCUUCCCUGUAGCUCAAAGGGAUAAGAGUUCUCCUGUAGUGUAGGAGACUGCGGUUCGACUCCUUGGUCAGGAAGAUCCUCUGGAGAAGGGAAUGGCAAUCCACCCCAGUAUUCUUGCCUGGGAAAUCCCAUGGACAGAGAAGCCUGGCAGGCUACAGUCCGUGGGCUUGCAAAGAGUCGGACGCAACUGAGCGACUAACACUAGUACUGCACCAUCAACACUACUAAUCCAUGUUCAAGUGUUCCUAGUUAUCUAAAAAAAAUUUCUUUUUGUAGUCAGUUUGUUGAGAAGGUUCAGAUGUUGACAGCCUGAUCCCUUCACGAAGCCCCAAUUUUCACCUAAUGCUUUUACGAUUCAUUAUCUGCAAUUGCAUGGUGGUGGUGGUUGCUGUUUAGUUGCUAACUCAUGGCUGACUUUUUGCGACCCCAUGGACAGUAAGUAGCUCACUGGGCUCCUCUGUCCAUGAGAUUUUCCUGGCAAGAAUACUGGAAUGUGUUGCCAUUUCCUUCUCCAGGGGAUCUGCCUGAUCCAGGGAUCAAACCCUAGUCUCCUGCUUGGCAGGUAGAUUCUUUACUGCUGAGCCACCACAGAAGGAAGCCCUACAAUUGUAUGGAUUAGUUAUUAAAUUAAAAAUAGCAAAAUAGUGUUGUAAAUUGGUCACUUUUGCCAUUAUUAGCUGAAACUUAUCUCAGAGAACUUUUUACUCAUUCACUUAAACUAGUUGGUUAACCUAAAAUAUCUCGGUAGUUCUCGAGUUGUUAAUAUCCUCUGUGGGGAAAGAAGACUGCUUUCUUUUUUAGCUAAGACUUUAUAUUAUUUCACUAAGGCUUAUAAUAAAGUACUUUUCUUCCUUCCUGAGGAAGUUAAAAGUUAUUCUUGAAUGGAAGAUUAAUGAAUUUGUGGAUUGGAUUAUUGGGAGGGCCUCCCAGUCCUAAGUGAGCAGUCACAAUUCUCUUAAGGUAUAGUGGGGUGUGGGGGAUGGGGAGACAAAGGGGAAAAAAACCCCCAAACAUACCCUCUUCACUGUUAGGUCUUGCACUGAGGAUGUGGUACUCACUUGAGGUAUGGAAAUUUUUAAACAUUCUUCUAUUUUCCCAGAGAAUAAAUUAGACUCAAUGUAGAGUCUGUAUAGACUCAUAUAGAGUCAUUUAAAGAUCUCUGGCCUUUAAACUGUCUUGGCACAGUUUUGUAAUCAAACACAUCAAAAUUUAAUAAUUAGUAUAUCAUGCAGUGCUGCAGGGACCUCUGCUGGUCUGCCCAGGGAUGAAGCAGAAACCUCAGAAAACCUUUGGCCAUUCCUUCAGCUGUUGUGAGCUGUGCCUUAGGCACUAGAGGUGACUGACUGGGAAGGGGGUCAGAGUGGCUCAGGCAGUCAGAUGAACAUUUUGUUACUGAUUGAAUAUAAGCAUCAUUCAUUGAAAUUUCAGGUAGUAAAUAUGUACACAUGGCUGCUUUCCUUUUUCUUGACCUUUUAUUUGUAUACUGUAUCACUUGCUUAUGUAGCCUUCCUUAGUUUCAUAGUUUGAAUCAUACCUCUUCAGUCUUUCAUUUGUUUAGGACAGUGUCUUCAGCAUUUUCUUUAUUUUUUUUUUAUCCUGAAUUGUUGCAUGUCAAAGUGGGCAAGGUGUUUUAGUUGAAGUUUCACCAGUUCAAACAUUGAAGAUAAGGAAUGUAUUAUCUGUGUUUGUGUAUUUUUAUGAUCACAUUAGAGCAGAAAAGUUUUGAAAACUAAUCUGUAUUGCUAUCAGCAUGUUUGUUUACUCUAUCUCCUUGCCCCCAUCCCUUUUGUACAUUUAAUAAAAAGGAUGAAAAAAUAAAAAUAGAUGUCCAGAUAGGUUCAUAUGUUAAAAAUUAGGCCCUAAAUCAGGACUCAAAGCAAGUUCUUUGUCCAUUUCAUUUGCUAUUAGAAACUUCAUCAACAAAUGAAAGAGUAACUUAGCCAUUAUUUUGAAUAAAGAGGACUAAUAUUACCCAUGACGUUAAAAGAUACUUGCUCUUUGGAAGAAAAGCUAUGACCAACCUAGACAGCAUAUUAAAAGGCAGAGACAUUACUUUGCCUACAAAGGUCCAUCUAGUCAAAGUUCUGGUUUUUCCAUUAGUCAUGUAUGGAUGUGAGAGUUGGACUAUAAAGAAAGCUGAGCACAGAAGAAUUGAUCUUUUGAACUGUGGUGUUGGAGAACACUCUUGAGAGUCCCUUGGACUGGAGAUCCAGUCCGUCCAUCCUGAAGGAAAUCAGUCCUGAAUAUGCAUUGGAAGGACUGAUGCUGAGGAUGAAACUCCAAUACUUUGGCCACCUGAUGUGAAGAACUGACUCAUUAGAAAAGACCCUGAUGCUGGGAAAGAUUGAGGGCAGGAAGAAAAGGGGUCGACAGAGGAUGAGAAGGUUGUAUGGCAUCACCGACUCAAUGGACGUGAGUUUGAGUAAACUCCAGGAGCUGGUGAUGGAUGGGGAGGCCUGGCGUGCUGCAGUCCAUGGGGUCGCAAAGAGUUGGACACAGCUGAGAGACUGAACUGAACUGAAUCUUACCUAGGUCCCAGCACCCCAAUGGUUUGAGCUGGUGACAUUUAAAAGACAUUUUGCCCCAAGGAAUAACUGGGUGUGUGCACCUAUGCUUAUCUUCUUCCAACUUGCUGGGUUUUAUUGUAAUAUUUCUAGUCUCAGAUACAUGUUCAAUAAAUGAGUUGUAUAGAUGAAAAGUCUAGUAUUAUGGAAAAAAUAAGGGUAUAAUUUUAAAAUGGUAUUAUAGCCUAAUUCCGUUAGUACAUCUAUAUUGAGAAAGACUAUAUAACAAUAUGGCAGAAAGCGAAGAGGAACUUAUGGGCCUCUUGAUGAAGGUGAAAGAGGAGAGUGAAAAAACUGGCUUAAAACUCAACACUCAAAAAACAAAGAUAAUGGCAUCCAGUCCCAUCACUUCAUGGCAAUAAAAGAAGAAAAAGUGGAAGUAGUGACAGAUGAAAAAUUGUUUGCUCCUUGGAACAAAAGCUAUGACAAACAUAGACAGUGUAUUAAAAAAUAGAGACAUUACUUUGCCAAUAAAGAUUUAUAUAGUCAAAGCUAUGGUUUUUCCAGUAGUCAUAUAUGGAUGUGAAAGUUGGACCAUAAAAAAGGCUGAGCACUGAAGAAUUGAUACUUUUGAACUGUGGUUUUGGAGAAGACUCUUGAGAGUUCCUUGGACUGCAAGGAGGUCAAACCAGUGAGUCCUAAAGGACAUCAACUCUGAAUAUUCAUUGGAAUCACUGAUGCUGAAGCUGAAGCUCCAACACUUUGCCCACCUGAUGCAAAGAGCUGACUCAUUUGAAAAGACCCUGAUGCUGGGAAAGCUUAAAGGCAGAAUAAGGGGACGACAGAGGAUGAGAUGGUUGCAUGGCAUCACUGACAACGCACCUGAAUUUCAGCAAGCUCAGGAAGAUGAUGAAGGGAAGCCUGAUGUGCUGCAGUCCAUGGGGGUGCAGAGUUGGACACGACUGAGUGACU
ensembl:lncRNA